rnacentral:rRNA from 1 species
UAAGGCUUAACACAUGCAAGUCGAGGGGCAGCAUGGUCUUAUCUUGCUAAGGCCGAUGGCGACCGGCGCACGGGUGAGUAACACGUAUCCAACCUGCCGUCUACUCUUGGACAGCCUUCUGAAAGGAAGAUUAAUACAAGAUGGCAUCAUGAGUCCGCAUGUUCACAUGAUUAAAGGUAUUCCGGUAGACGAUGGGGAUGCGUUCCAUUAGAUAGUAGGCGGGGUAACGGCCCACCUAGUCUUCGAUGGAUAGGGGUUCUGAGAGGAAGGUCCCCCACAUUGGAACUGAGACACGGUCCAAACUCCUACGGGAGGCAGCAGUGAGGAAUAUUGGUCAAUGGGCGAGAGCCUGAACCAGCCAAGUAGCGUGAAGGAUGACUGCCCUAUGGGUUGUAAACUUCUUUUAUAAAGGAAUAAAGUCGGGUAUGGAUACCCGUUUGCAUGUACUUUAUGAAUAAGGAUCGGCUAACUCCGUGCCAGCAGCCGCGGUAAUACGGAGGAUCCGAGCGUUAUCCGGAUUUAUUGGGUUUAAAGGGAGCGUAGAUGGAUGUUUAAGUCAGUUGUGAAAGUUUGCGGCUCAACCGUAAAAUUGCAGUUGAUACUGGAUAUCUUGAGUGCAGUUGAGGCAGGCGGAAUUCGUGGUGUAGCGGUGAAAUGCUUAGAUAUCACGAAGAACUCCGAUUGCGAAGGCAGCCUGCUAAGCUGCAACUGACAUUGAGGCUCGAAAGUGUGGGUAUCAAACAGGAUUAGAUACCCUGGUAGUCCACACGGUAAACGAUGAAUACUCGCUGUUUGCGAUAUACUGCAAGCGGCCAAGCGAAAGCGUUAAGUAUUCCACCUGGGGAGUACGCCGGCAACGGUGAAACUCAAAGGAAUUGACGGGGGCCCGCACAAGCGGAGGAACAUGUGGUUUAAUUCGAUGAUACGCGAGGAACCUUACCCGGGCUUAAAUUGCAGAUGAAUUACGGUGAAAGCCGUAAGCCGCAAGGCAUCUGUGAAGGUGCUGCAUGGUUGUCGUCAGCUCGUGCCGUGAGGUGUCGGCUUAAGUGCCAUAACGAGCGCAACCCUUGUUGUCAGUUACUAACAGGUUCCGCUGAGGACUCUGACAAGACUGCCAUCGUAAGAUGUGAGGAAGGUGGGGAUGACGUCAAAUCAGCACGGCCCUUACGUCCGGGGCUACACACGUGUUACAAUGGGGGGUACAGAGGGCCGCUACCACGCGAGUGGAUGCCAAUCCCCAAAACCUCUCUCAGUUCGGACUGGAGUCUGCAACCCGACUCCACGAAGCUGGAUUCGCUAGUAAUCGCGCAUCAGCCACGGCGCGGUGAAUACGUUCCCGGGCCUUGUACACACCGCCCGUCAAGCCAUGGGAGCCGGGGGUACCUGAAGUGCGUAACCGCGAGGAGCGCCCUAGGGCAAAACUGGUGACUGGG